AUGGCACGUCGUCAUCAAGAUAGGAAGAUAAGGUGGAAUAAAGCCCGUUCGCAGCGUAAGCCCAGAGAGUUUACGGAGGCAGCCUUCGUCCGCCCGGCGAAAGAGAGACUUGGAAAGAGAGAAGAAAACUACGCCUCCCGUGAUCCUCUCUGGCAGCUGGAGCGGCAAUCCAAGGAGCCUGCGGUUACAGAGUAUAUAAAGGAAGGAAUGGCCCGGGCUCGGAUAAUCGGAGGCGGUCGAGCAACUGAUGAGCGCGGGUGGCACAGGGCGCGAUCUUCGGCGCCUCCUCCUCCUCCUCCUCCUCGCAGUCAUUGGCGCAGCUUACGGGUUUCGGUGCCGCAGAAGCAGCAGCCGCCACCGAACCGGCUGACUCGGGAACUCUGCGGGGCCGGUGGACGGAGCCUUCGGCAACUCGCUGUGCAGGAGAGCGCGCGCGCACACACACACACACGCGCACACCUGGAUUCCCGGGAUGUCGCGAGCCGGCUGCUUCGGAUGCCGAGCGAUGCAAACUUUCUUCGCGCUUGGGAGGUGGCGGAGGGGAAAAGGGGGGGCGAGGGCUCCUGGGAGGAGGAAGACUUUGCGGACGCCUCUGCGGCUGGAGCGCGCUCCCGGCAAAGCUGGGGGACCCGUGCAGCCCGAUCGUCGGGACGGCAGGCAAAAGGUACAGGUACAAAGUACUCUGGAUUCAGAGAAGAUGCUGACAGAAACGUGCCAGAGGCCCAAGUAUUUCUAUAGAGAAGACCUCACCUGAUGGAAAACCCUCUUUUGAGAAAUGUCAGGAGAUUGUUUGCUUGUGACCAAAACAGACACCCUGUGAGAAGGCUUCAUCUUACAGUCAAGAGAAAUGGAGCAUGGGAUCUUCAGCUAGCAGUGUGCUGGUAGCUCGCCACUAUCUUUGUUCAUCAUGAAGCAGUCAACCUUUUGGCUUGUUCCUUCUCACUUCAUAGACUUCAUCCCCAUCAAAUAUGAACACUCAUUUCCGCUGUAGAUCAGAAAAUUACUUGGGGCAAGUGUCUAUGUACAGUAGGAGUAGCUGUGGAAAACAACAUGACCAAAAGCAUGCCACUGUUUAAUCUUUGUCUUUGAUCCUGUGCUCUUACUGUAUUGUAGACAAGAAAUAUUCAGUGUUCUGUGUUAUAUACUCUUCAUUUGUAUUAUGGUGGCAUGUAGCCCUGCAACAUGGCAGUAGAGACUCAUGGACAGUUGGUGAAUCUGGGUGACAAAGAGCUGAUUGCUCCAUAUGGGAAUCCACCACCAAAGAGGAUCAAACUGUUUUUUGAGCUUUUUGAGCAUCAUGAAUUUUCUCCAUGUACCAUUCAUAAACAUACAAUACUGGAACAUAUCUGUUUGCCUUUCCAGCUGGUAGAAAUUGAUUUGCAUUUUUCUUUGUUAAGCUUAUGAAUGUAACACAUUUUUACUAUAAAUCUAGCCGCUUGGUAAACCUGCCAGUUUUUUCCCAUUUGAGAAGCUAAUAUCUGCUAGUUACAAGAAUGCAUUUAUUUUAAAUUUAUUUAUUAAAUAAAUUAUUCAAAUAUUCAUCA
rnacentral:lncRNA from 1 species